rnacentral:rRNA from 1 species
UACGUAGGGUGCAAGCGUUGUCCGGAAUUAUUGGGCGUAAAGAGCUCGUAGGCGGUCUGUCGCGUCGGCUGUGAAAACCUGGGGCUCAACCCCGGGCCUGCAGCCGAUACGGGCAAGCUAGAAUUCGGUAGGGGAGACUGGAAUUCCUGGUGUAGCGGUGAAAUGCGCAGAUAUCAGGAGGAACACCGGUGGCGAAGGCGGGUCUCUGGGCCGAUAUUGACGCUGAGGAGCGAAAGCAUGGGGGAGCGAACAGG